UUACCAAGGAUAUAUUUAUAAUAAUGAAAGAAAAAGGCAAUAAGCGGUGAAGGUUGGAUCUUUGUCCAAUGCAUAUCCUUUUCCUGCAUGGACGGACGUCACAGAUUUCAGGGAAUACAUACAAAAGAAAAUUAUAUUAUAAAUCUCCCUUUUUUUAGAAAUUUAUCUUUUCUAACAACAUACAUAAUUACAUUAAUAUACUGUAGUUAUAUCUCGUUUUUAUUUUUUUAUUUUUUAUUGUCACCUAUGUUUUUUUCUAUUUUUUAUUUUUUUUUAAUUUUUUUAAUAACUAAUACGAACCAGAAAGUACCAAUUAGUAUACCAAUCUUGUAUGGCGAACUGCUCUUGAAAAUGCACCUACAAAACAGCAAGUUGGGAUUUUCUAAGCGUGGUACCUGGAAAACCACUCGGACGGUCAAGUUAGUAUUUUAGGAAAGACAAAAGAAUGUAAGUGUUUUGAGAGUUGCUUAACCUUUCUUUGGCGAAACAGGGAAACAAAAUGCCACCUUAUAUAGUAUUAGUCCGGUUUCUGGUACUGAACUCCUCUAUGAUAGUCCGCCCCCCACUAACCAAAGAAAGAGUAGAAAAAUAAAAAUUGAUCCUACCUCCCCUCGGAGCCCAUCAGGAUGAUCUCAUGAGGUAAAGUCUUUAGCUCAAAUCAUGAAGGAGAAGAAAGAGUAGAAGGCAAAACUGCUCCAACCCCGACCUACUUCUUUGAGUCGAACUCCGAAGGGAUCUAAAGGUGUUGCGCCUCUUGCUAAGGAGGUUUUCAAUAAAGAAAUAGCAUGCAUCUCCUUACGCUUCUAAACCCAGCGAUCUAUGGUGGUUCCUAGGGGUACAUUGAAAAGACCAGCUUCUAGUGGUGGUCUCCCUCGCCCCCCUAAAUUGCUAAAGUUGGGUGAAACAUCAAUCCCUCUAGUAGUCUCUUAUAAAUUUAUUGCCCUGGUGGAAGAGAAGUAUGGCAAAGAAGCUUUGGUGUCUUAUCCACUCAUCGCCACUGAUGUGAUGAGCGCGAUCCAACUUUCCAAAGAUCAGGAGCUAUUUGUUGAAUAUAUUUCUAAUGCAAAAAUCACAGGUUUUGUAUAUGGGCAUUUGGCUCUGGUAGGUGAUCUAUCGUCUCUAAUAGGGUUCUUUUAUCAUAUAUAUGCAUAUUAUUGCUGGCACUUUGUCCAUUCAAUGGCUUCUCAAGCUAUUUUUGCUCUUUGUCGGUGAUCUUUGGAGUAUAAGGAUAAAGUGAAGAGCGAUCGGGCUAAGGCUAAGGCGAACCUUGAAUCCAAGAACAAAGCUGAUCUGGAAAGUUGUUAGCAGACUACCGAUUCUUACGGGAAAAAAAGAAAGCCAGGCAUGCUGCCUCCGAAUUAGAACUAAACCAGAAAGUUACUGCUCUUUUAGGCAAUCUUUGCUCGAUGCGGAGGAAGUUGGAAGCUGCCAGGAAUUAAGUUUAUUCUUUAAUAGGCAAGUUAGAGAAAGAGAAAGCUGCUAAGGAGGUUAUGGUUGAGUAGAUGGAGAAAAGUUGUAAGCAAGAUUCAUGAACAAUUUCCAAAACUCAACCUUGAUUUUGUUAACGAGAUCUACCCUGAUGAAGAUGAGGAAGUUGUUGGUGAAGGCGAGGUUUCUAUCUAUUCCCAAUCUCUUUCUAACAUUCGGGAUAGGUUGAAUACUCUGCUUCCCUUAAUCGAGUUUCCUACUCCUCCUCCGCUUCCUGCUCUAGAGUUUUCUGAGUCUUUUUCCUCCCAUGAUUUGCUUGCCAAAGCUGAGCCUAUUGUUUCAUCCAAUCAUCCUUUUUCUCUAAACGAUUAUAUAAUUAACACCAAAAGUGGCGAUGUAUAUAAAUAGUUCCUUUUAUCUUCA